rnacentral:lncRNA from 1 species
GGCACAGGAGGCAGAGAUCAACACGGUACCUUAUCUGUGGACUGCCAUGUUCGGCAAGAGCCUGCGCUAUGCUGGCUACGGAGAAGGCUUCGAUGAUGUCAUCAUUCAGGGGGAUCUGGAGGAGCUGAAGUUUGUGGCUUUUUAUACCAAAGGUGACGAAGUGAUUGCUGUGGCCAGCAUGAACUACGACCCCAUCGUAUCCAAGGUGGCCGAGGUGCUGGCCUCAGGUCGAGCCAUCCGGAAGCGGGAGGUGGAGACCGGUGACAUGUCUUGGCUCACAGGGAAAGGAUCCUGAGCUCUCUCUCUCUCUCAUGUGGUGGACUUAGGCAGGCCUCUGGGACACCAAGGUCAGAGACUAAGUCCCGGGGCAAGUGCCAAUCUCCAAUAUCCCAGGAUCCCCCAAGGUGGAAUCUGAGUCUUCCAAGGCUUGCCUUCAACUGUCUGCCUCACCUCCAGAGAGGCUACUACUGCCUCCAGAAGAUGAUCCGUUCCGAAGGCCUCAGCUGUCACUGACAGCUGGUUUUAGAGGCAGGACAGGCUCUGUCUCUGCUUCCUCUGUUAGGACUGUUUUCCCAGCAAGCCCCUUCAACAUUACCUUAAAAUUAAAACACAUAUAUCAGC